GUUUGAGUGGCAGAGCCCGGAUACUGUAAAAGCAUUAAACCCUUUCCAUGAAGGUUCAAAUCCUUCCUCUAACU
rnacentral:tRNA from 1 species